UACAGAGGGUGCGAGCGUUGUUCGGAUUUACUGGGCGUAAAGGGCGCGUAGGCGGCCACCGCAAGUCGACUGUGAAAUCUCCGGGCUUAACCCGGAAAGGUCAGCCGAUACUGCGGGGCUAGAGUGCAGAAGGGGCAACUGGAAUUCUCGGUGUAGCGGUGAAAUGCGUAGAUAUCAGGAGGAACACCUGCGGUGUAGACGGCUUACUGGACCAUAACUGACGCUGAGGCACGAAAGCGUGGGUAGCAAACAGG
rnacentral:rRNA from 1 species